AGCGAACGCUGGCGGCAGGCCUAACACAUGCAAGUCGAACGAACCUUUCGGGGUUAGUGGCGGACGGGUGUGUAACACGUGGGAACGUGCCUUUAGGUUCGGAAUAACUCAGGGAAAAUUGUGCUAAUACCGAAUGUGCCCUUCGGGGGUAAGAUUUAUCGCCUUUAGAGCGGCCCGCGUCUGCUUAGUUAGUUGGUUGAGGUAAUGGCUCACCAAGGCGAAGAUCAGUAGCUGGUCAGAGAGGAUGAUCAGCCACAUUGGGACUGAGACACGGCCCAAACUCCUACGGGAGGCGGCAGUGGGGAAUCUUGCGCAAUGGGCGAAAGCCUGACGCAGCCAUGCCGCGUGAAUGAUGAAGGUCUUAGGAUUGUAAAAUUCUUUCACCGGGGACGAUAAUGACGGUACCCGGAGAAGAAGCCCCGGCUAACUUCGUG
rnacentral:rRNA from 1 species